rnacentral:rRNA from 1 species
GACGAACGCUGGCGGCGUGCUUAACACAUGCAAGUCGAACGGAAAGGCCCUGCUUUUGUGGGGUGCUCGAGUGGCGAACGGGUGAGUAACACGUGAGUAACCUGCCCUUGACUUUGGGAUAACUUCAGGAAACUGGGGCUAAUACCGGAUAGGAGCUCCUGCUGCAUGGUGGGGGUUGGAAAGUUUCGGCGGUUGGGGAUGGACUCGCGGCUUAUCAGCUUGUUGGUGGGGUAGUGGCUUACCAAGGCUUUGACGGGUAGCCUGCCUGAGAGGGUGACCGGCCACAUUGGGACUGAGAUACGGCCCAGACUCCUACGGGAGGCAACAGUGGGGAAUAUUGCACAAUGGGCGGGAGCCAGAUGCAGCAACGCCGCGUGCGGGAUGACGGCCUUCGGGUUGUAAACCGCUUUCGCCUGUGACGAAGCGUGAGUGACGGUAAUGGGUAAAGAAGCACCGGCUAACUACGUG